rnacentral:rRNA from 1 species
AAUAUUUGCACAAUGGGCGAAAGCCUGAUGCAGCAACGCCGCGUGAGCGAUGAAGGCCUUCGGGUCGUAAAGCUCUGUCCUCAAGGAAGAAAUGACGGUACUUGAGGAGGAAGCCCCGGCUAACUACGUGCCAGCAGCCGCGGUAAUACGUAGGGGGCUAGCGUUAUCCGGAAUUACUGGGCGUAAAGGGGGGGUAGGGGGUUUCUUAAGUCAGAGGUGAAAGGCUACGGUUCAACCGUAGUAGGCCUUUGAAACUGGGAAACUUGAGUGCGGGAGAGGAGAGUGGAAUUCUUAGUGUAGCGGUGAAAUGCGUAGAUUUUAUGGGGGAACACCAGUUGCGAAGGCGGCUCUCUGGGGCUGUACCUGACACUGAGGCACGAAAGCGUGGGGGGGCAAACAGGGAUUAGAAAACCCUGGUGGGUCCACGCCGUAAACGAUGAGGACCUAGCUGUCGAAGGUUAACCCCCCUUCCGGGGGGGCAGCUACGGCAUU